AUAAUUUUAUUUCGGUUUGUUUUGUGUUUUCAUCCAAAAUCUACACCAGCUUCUUCACACACUGACCCACGUUAUCCCCUUCUGCCUCCAAAGGAAAAAAUUUCUCUCCCCAGAACCUUGCAGAGCUCUGCUCUCUCUCCCCCACCCCCACGCCUUCGGAUUCCGGCGACGCCACGCCCACCAGAUCGGAGACGCCACCCUAGGACGACGACCAAUAGUGCCGCCGCCCACCAUCUGGUGCUUCUCUCCUCAAACACUCCUCUCUCUCCUCCCUCUCUAUCACCCUUCGUCCUAUAGAACCCACACCUUACGCCUCCACCACCUCCGGAACUGAAAUCGCCGGCUACGCCCACCCGCCACGACACCAGCUCGGACAGCCACCGGCGACGCCCACCCCACGCUUUGUUUUGUUUGAUUUCGAAAAUGGGAUUACAUAAAAUUUUUAAGUCUCCAAUUAUUAUCGGUCAUAUCAUCUCCAUUGGCUUUGUUACUUUUUAAGUCUUCAGCGACAAAGGAGAGCGCUUAUGAGCCCUCAAUUCGAGCAAAUCCACAGUGAAAUCUGCAAUAACUUGUGAGCCCUAAUGUAUGUUGCAAAUUUAUUUCUCUCUCACAUGUGAUUAUUGUAAUGUGAUUGUAAAUCUUAGGAUCUAGCUUUUUAAUUGAAAGCGUGGGCUUGAUUACUGUUUCGAUUAAAUAUAUGAGAACUCAAGGUAGGGGAAUAUAUGUAGCUGAUUUUUGCUAGUGACUUGGCUUAUCCAUUGUGCUUGUUUCUUUUGUUUCAUUAGACUUUUAAUUUAGGGUUUGAUUUGGUAUUUGUGUAGACUAUUAUUAUCUUAUUAUAGAGUGUAGGGAUAAAUAGAAAGACCUGUUGGCUCUUUGCGGCCAUUAUGGAAUAAUUUUAGUGUUGAAUGAUGGUAAUCUCUUAGCUACUGGU